UUUGAUUAUGGCUCAAGGAUGAAGGCUGGCGGCGUGCCUAACACAUGCAAGUUCGAGCGGCAGCGAGGGGGGCUUGCACCCUGUCGGCGAGCGGCGGACGGCUGAAUAACGCGUGGGAAUCUACCCUAAAGUGAGGGAUAACCGCCCGAAAGGGUGGCUAAUACCGCAUAUGAUCUUCGGAUUAAAGGAUUUAUCCGCUUUAGGAAGAGCCCGCGUUAGAUUAGGUAGUUGGUAGGGUAAUGGCCUACCAAGCCAACGAUCUAUAGCUGGUCUGAGAGGAUGAUCAGCCAGACUGGAACUGAGACACGGUCCAGACUCCUACGGGAGGCAGCAGUGAGGAAUCUUCCACAAUGGGCGAAAGCCUGAUGGAGCAACGCCGCGUGAAGGAUGAAGGCCUUCGGGUUGUAAACUUCUUUUAUGAGUGAAGAAUAUGACGGUAACUCAUGAAUAAGCACCGGCUAACUACGUGCCAGCAGCCGCGGUCAUACGUAGGGUGCAAGCAUUAUCCGGAGUGACUGGGCGUAAAGAGUUGCGUAGGCGGUUUAAUAAGUGAAUAGUGAAACCUGGUGGCUCAACCAUACAGACUAUUAUUCAAACUGUUAAACUCGAGAGUAGUAGAGGUAACUGGAAUUUCUAGUGUAGGAGUGAAAUCCGUAGAUAUUAGAAGGAACACCAAUGGCGUAGGCAGGUUACUGGACUAUUUCUGACGCUAAGGCACGAAAGCGUGGGGAGCGAACUGGAUUAGAUACCCAGGUAGUCCACGCCGUAAACGAUGGAUACUAGCUGUUGGAGGUAUCGACCCCUUCAGUAGCGAAGCUAACGCGUUAAGUAUCCCGCCUGUGGAGUACGGCCGCAAGGCUAAAACAUAAAGGAAUUGACGGGGACCCGCACGAGCGGUGGAUCAUGUUCUUUAAUUCGAUGAUAAACGAAGAACCUUACCAGGGUUUGACAUCCCGAGAAGAUUUACGAAAGUAGAUUGUGCCUUUUGGAACUCGGUGACAGAUGAUGCAUGGCCGUCGUCAGCUCGUGUCGUGAGAUGUUUGGUUAAGUCCAUCAACGAGCGCAACCCUUGUGAAUAGUUGAAUUUUUCUAUUCAGACUGCCCCGGCAACGGGGAGGAAGGAGGGGAUGAUGUCAGGUCAGUAUUUCUCUUACAUCCUGGGCUAGAAACGUGAUACAAUGGCAAGUACAAUGCGCAGCGAAGCCGCGAGGUGAAGCAAAUCGCACCAAAGCUUGUCCCAGUUCGGAUUGGAGGCUGAAACUCGCCUCCAUGAAAGUCGGAAAUCGCUAGUAAUCGCAGGUCAGCAAAACUGCGGUGAAAUACGUUCCCGGGUCUUGUACACACCGCCCGUCAAA
rnacentral:rRNA from 1 species